AGUAGGAUAGGCGAAGCGUACGAUUGGAUUGUACGUCUAAGCAGUGAGAUUGAGUGUUAGGCAAAUCCGGCACUCUUAAGAUUGAGCUGUGAUGGGGAGAGGAAAUUGUUUCCUCGAGUCGUUGAUUUCACACUGCCGAGAAAAGCCUCUAGAUAGAGAUUAGGUGCCCGUACCGCAAACCGACACAGGUAGUCAAGAUGAGAAUUCUAAGGUGAGCGAGCGAACUCUCGUUAAGGAACUCGGCAAAAUGACCCCGUAACUUCGGGAGAAGGGGUGCUCUUUAGGGUGCAAGC
rnacentral:rRNA from 1 species